UAUCUCGAAAAUACCCAACACAAAAACCUUUAUUCUUACACUGACUGUAUAAAAAGUGGAGGCAAAGUAAACCUAUCCCAUAUACACCUCAUCCCAGGUCCUAUGUCUGGUCUGUACUGUGAAUGGAGAGACAUGG
rnacentral:snoRNA from 1 species